rnacentral:rRNA from 1 species
AAACCAACCGGGAUUGCCUUAGUAACGGCGAGUGAAGCGGCAAAAGCUCAAAUUUGAAAUCUAGUACCUUCGGUGCUCGAGUUGUAAUUUGUAGAGGGAUACUUUGGGGCCGUUCCUUAUCUAUGUUCCUUGGAACAGGACGUCAUAGAGGGUGAGAAUCCCGUAUGAUGAGGAGUGCGGUUCUAUGUAAAGUGCUCUCGAAGAGUCGAGUUGUUUGGGAAUGCAGCUCUAAGUGGGUGGUAAAUUCCAUCUAAAGCUAAAUAUUGGCGAGAGACCGAUAGCGAACAAGUACAGUGAUGGAAAGAUGAAAAGAACUUUGAAAAGAGAGUGAAAAAGUACGUGAAAUUGUUGAAAGGGAAGGGCAUUUGAUCAGACAUGGUGUUUUGCGCCCUCUGCUCCUUGUGGGUGGGGGACUCUCGCAGCUCACUGGGCCAGCAUCAGUUUUGGCGGCAGGAUAAAUCUGUAGGAAUGUAGCUUGCUUCGGGAAGUGUUAUAGCCUGCGGGAAUACUGCCAGCUGGGAUUGAGGACUGCGACAUUCGUCAAGGAUGCUGGCAUAAUGGUUAUAUGCCGC